GGGUUGUGAGGUUAAGCGACUAAGCGUACACGGUGGAUGCCCUGGCAGUCAGAGGCGAUGAAGGACGUGCUAAUCUGCGAUAAGCGUCGGUAAGGUGAUAUGAACCGUUAUAACCGGCGAUUUCCGAAUGGGGAAACCCAGUGUGAUUCGUCACACUAUCAUUAACUGAAUCCAUAGGUUAAUGAGGCGAACCGGGGGAACUGAAACAUCUAAGUACCCCGAGGAAAAGAAAUCAACCGAGAUUCCCCCAGUAGCGGCGAGCGAACGGGGAGCAGCCCAGAGCCUGAAUCAGUGUGUGUGUUAGUGGAAGCGUCUGGAAAGGCGCGCGAUACAGGGUGACAGCCCCGUACACAAAAAUGCACAUGCUGUGAGCUCGAUGAGUAGGGCGGGACACGUGGUAUCCUGUCUGAAUAUGGGGGGACCAUCCUCCAAGGCUAAAUACUCCUGACUGACCGAUAGUGAACCAGUACCGUGAGGGAAAGGCGAAAAGAACCCCGGCGAGGGGAGUGAAAAAGAACCUGAAACCGUGUACGUACAAGCAGUGGGAGCACAGAGCAAUCUGUGUGACUGCGUACCUUUUGUAUAAUGGGUCAGCGACUUAUAUUCUGUAGCAAGGUUAACCGAAUAGGGGAGCCGAAGGGAAACCGAGUCUUAACUGGGCGUUAAGUUGCAGGGUAUAGACCCGAAACCCGGUGAUCUAGCCAUGGGCAGGUUGAAGGUUGGGUAACACUAACUGGAGGACCGAACCGACUAAUGUUGAAAAAUUAGCGGAUGACUUGUGGCUGGGGGUGAAAGGCCAAUCAAACCGGGAGAUAGCUGGUUCUCCCCGAAAGCUAUUUAGGUAGCGCCUCGUGAAUUCAUCUCCGGGGGUAGAGCACUGUUUCGGCAAGGGGGUCAUCCCGACUUACCAACCCGAUGCAAACUGCGAAUACCGGAGAAUGUUAUCACGGGAGACACACGGCGGGUGCUAACGUCCGUCGUGAAGAGGGAAACAACCCAGACCGCCAGCUAAGGUCCCAAAGUCAUGGUUAAGUGGGAAACGAUGUGGGAAGGCCCAGACAGCCAGGAUGUUGGCUUAGAAGCAGCCAUCAUUUAAAGAAAGCGUAAUAGCUCACUGGUCGAGUCGGCCUGCGCGGAAGAUGUAACGGGGCUAAACCAUGCACCGAAGCUGCGGCAGCGACACUGUGUGUUGUUGGGUAGGGGAGCGUUCUGUAAGCCUGCGAAGGUGUGCUGUGAGGCAUGCUGGAGGUAUCAGAAGUGCGAAUGCUGACAUAAGUAACGAUAAAGCGGGUGAAAAGCCCGCUCGCCGGAAGACCAAGGGUUCCUGUCCAACGUUAAUCGGGGCAGGGUGAGUCGACCCCUAAGGCGAGGCCGAAAGGCGUAGUCGAUGGGAAACAGGUUAAUAUUCCUGUACUUGGUGUUACUGCGAAGGGGGGACGGAGAAGGCUAUGUUGGCCGGGCGACGGUUGUCCCGGUUUAAGCGUGUAGGCUGGUUUUCCAGGCAAAUCCGGAAAAUCAAGGCUGAGGCGUGAUGACGAGGCACUACGGUGCUGAAGCAACAAAUGCCCUGCUUCCAGGAAAAGCCUCUAAGCAUCAGGUAACAUCAAAUCGUACCCCAAACCGACACAGGUGGUCAGGUAGAGAAUACCAAGGCGCUUGAGAGAACUCGGGUGAAGGAACUAGGCAAAAUGGUGCCGUAACUUCGGGAGAAGGCACGCUGAUAUGUAGGUGAAGUCCCUCGCGGAUGGAGCUGAAAUCAGUCGAAGAUACCAGCUGGCUGCAACUGUUUAUUAAAAACACAGCACUGUGCAAACACGAAAGUGGACGUAUACGGUGUGACGCCUGCCCGGUGCCGGAAGGUUAAUUGAUGGGGUCAGCGCAAGCGAAGCUCUUGAUCGAAGCCCCGGUAAACGGCGGCCGUAACUAUAACGGUCCUAAGGUAGCGAAAUUCCUUGUCGGGUAAGUUCCGACCUGCACGAAUGGCGUAAUGAUGGCCAGGCUGUCUCCACCCGAGACUCAGUGAAAUUGAACUCGCUGUGAAGAUGCAGUGUACCCGCGGCAAGACGGAAAGACCCCGUGAACCUUUACUAUAGCUUGACACUGAACAUUGAGCCUUGAUGUGUAGGAUAGGUGGGAGGCUUUGAAGUGUGGACGCCAGUCUGCAUGGAGCCGACCUUGAAAUACCACCCUUUAAUGUUUGAUGUUCUAACGUUGACCCGUGAUCCGGGUUGCGGACAGUGUCUGGUGGGUAGUUUGACUGGGGCGGUCUCCUCCUAAAGAGUAACGGAGGAGCACGAAGGUUGGCUAAUCCUGGUCGGACAUCAGGAGGUUAGUGCAAUGGCAUAAGCCAGCUUGACUGCGAGCGUGACGGCGCGAGCAGGUGCGAAAGCAGGUCAUAGUGAUCCGGUGGUUCUGAAUGGAAGGGCCAUCGCUCAACGGAUAAAAGGUACUCCGGGGAUAACAGGCUGAUACCGCCCAAGAGUUCAUAUCGACGGCGGUGUUUGGCACCUCGAUGUCGGCUCAUCACAUCCUGGGGCUGAAGUAGGUCCCAAGGGUAUGGCUGUUCGCCAUUUAAAGUGGUACGCGAGCUGGGUUUAGAACGUCGUGAGACAGUUCGGUCCCUAUCUGCCGUGGGCGCUGGAGAACUGAGGGGGGCUGCUCCUAGUACGAGAGGACCGGAGUGGACGCAUCACUGGUGUUCGGGUUGUCAUGCCAAUGGCACUGCCCGGUAGCUAAAUGCGGAAGAGAUAAGUGCUGAAAGCAUCUAAGCACGAAACUUGCCCCGAGAUGAGUUCUCCCUGACUCCUUGAGAGUCCUGAAGGAACGUUGAAGACGACGACGUUGAUAGGCCGGGUGUGUAAGCGCAGCGAUGCGUUGAGCUAACCGGUACUAAUGAACCGUGAGGCUUAACCUUACAACGCCGAAGGUGUUU
rnacentral:rRNA from 1 species